rnacentral:rRNA from 1 species
AGUGAACGCUGGCGGUAGGCCUAACACAUGCAAGUCGAACGGCAGCACAGUAAGAGCUUGCUCUUACGGGUGGCGAGUGGCGGACGGGUGAGGAAUACAUCGGAAUCUACUUUUUCGUGGGGGAUAACGUAGGGAAACUUACGCUAAUACCGCAUACGACCUACGGGUGAAAGCAGGGGAUCUUCGGCCCUUGCGCGUUUGAAUGAGCCGAUGUCGGAUUAGCUAGUUGGCGGGGUAAAGGCCCACCAAGGCGACGAUCCGUAGCUGGUCUGAGAGGAUGAUCAGCCACACUGGAACUGAGACACGGUCCAGACUCCUACGGGAGGCAGCAGUGGGGAAUAUUGGACAAUGGGCGCAAGCCUGAUCCAGCCAUGCCGCGUGAGUGAAGAAGGCCUUCGGGUUGUAAAACCCUUUUGUUGGGAAAGAAAAGCAGCAGGUUAAUACCCCACUGUUCUGACGGUACCCAAAGAAUAAGCACCGGCUAACUUCGUG